CGGGUAGGCGGCGGCUUAAGUCAUGCGUGAAAGCUCCCUGGCUCAACCGGGAGAGGUCGUGUGAGACUGGGUCGCUAGAGGCAGGUAGAGGCUGACGGAAUUCCGGGUGGAGUGGUGAAAUGCGUAGAGAUCCGGAGGAACACCAGUGGCGAAGGCGGUCAGCUGGGCCUAGCCUGACGCUCAGACGCGAAAGCAUGGGGAGCGAACG
rnacentral:rRNA from 1 species